ensembl:lncRNA
GUAAUUAUGAACUUUUUCCCUACUACUGUCCACUGUCUUUGGUUUAGAGCAAAGCAGAAGCCAAGCAGCUAUUUAGCUCUCUAGCAUAUUUCCGUGUGAGAUUUGAUUUAUAUGAGCAUCAAGAAGUAGAGAUCUUAAUUCAGGCCAUUAGCCCGAGGGGAGGUCCUGAGUCGUCCAAAGGUUCUCCAGCGGGCAAACAAGAAAGACAGCACUCCUGCCCCGAUCCGUACACACUGGAGCAUCCAGGGCUGAAUUUCUUUCCAAUGGAAGUUGUUAUUUGAAUCUAGAAGUGUUGCUAAAAUGGAUUCAUCAAGCCAUUUUUUAGUGGAAAGGGCUUCAUGGAUGACGACCUGCUGGAAGUUGGCCGACAGCUGAAAGGAAGAACGACCCUGUUCAGUCCUGCUCAUUAUGCCUGCCAGAGAUCAAGAACACCUUGACCAAUCAGGAGAGGGGAUCUUCAUACAAGGAAAGGGGACUUUUGUACAAGGAGAGGGGACCUUUAUUCACCUUCCUGUACUCUUUCUUCCAAGCUAGUUUUUAACUUCAGGAAAGUAUCACUCUUCUGUGGCUGCUUAAUAUUUAAUUGGCUAUGUAAUGUGGCUAUGUAAUAUUUAAAUGUAGCCAAGUGUUUAGGGAUGAAGGUCUCUGACUCUGCCCCUCACCACACUUGGGACCUUAGGAAAGUUAUUUAACUUCUUUAACCAUCAUUUGUAAACUAUGUUUGUUGGAAAGAAUAAUUCUGUUUUUAAUGUAUAAAGUACAUAGUAUGGGACCUAUAAUAUAAGAGGUGUUCAAUAAAAAGUUAUUGUUAUCGUUACUAAGAUUUUUUUAUACUUAACCACAUAGAAAUGUCAUGUUGUCUGAUUUGUUCACUGCUGUAUCCCCUGGGCCAGUGCCUGAUGUUUAGUAGAUACUACUAAAUAAAUGCUAAAUUGCUACUCAAUAAAUAUUUGUCUGAAUGAAGGCAUGAGGGAAUGAAUGAAUGCAUUCAAGAAAAUGGGUUUCUCACCGUAUAUGGUAUGAAAGCAUACUGCGCAGGGAGUCCAGAAUCUUGGAUUCUGGCUCUGACUGGGCCUUCUGCAAACUGGUCUCCUAUGUGGACUAAAUUUUUCCACCUCUGAGCCUUAUUUUCCUAAUCUUUAAAACCUAUCUUGCAGAGCUGUAACAGUCUUCAAAUAUAAGGUUAUUUGGGGGAGAGCAAUCCCAUGUUUAUACAUAGGAGGAAUUUAAUUGCUCCUUACCCCCCAUGUACUCACAAUCAAGGGUUUAUGUCAACUUUACCUCAGGAAAAUUAGGUUCUAUACGGAAUAGAUUUUUUAAAAAAUUGUCAUUGAAAUAAAUUCCCAAUUAGGAGAAUAUUUUAUCUAGAGAUGGGAAGCAAUGAAGAGACUAAUAGAAUUAGGGUCCACCUUCUUUUAGGGUGUAUGCGAAGGAAAUGGGGAAGGACAUCAGCUGCCGCCUUUCUGUCCUUGCCCUCAGGUUAGUGUUUGAGUUAAGGAACAAGAAAUGAAACAGGGGCUGGCCCCAUGGCCGAGUACUUAAGCUCAUGUGCUCCGCUUCAGCAGCCCGGGGCUUUGCCAGUUCGGAUCCUGGGUGCCAACCUACACACCUCUCAUCAGGCCAUGCUGAGGCAGUGUCCCACAUAGUGGAGCCAACCGGACCUACAACUAGAGUAUGCAACCAUGUCCUGGGAGCUUUGGAGAGAAGAAGGAAAAAAAAAGAAAGAAGUUUGGCAACAGAUGUUAGCUCAGGUGCCGAUCUUUAAAAAAAAAAAAGAAAUGAAACAGACUUUGCAUUUUUCAUGUUUAGCCAAGCUCUUCUGGUUUGCAUAGUCAUAAUACAAUUCAGGGGCUGCCCCGUGGCCAAGUUGUUAAGUUCACACACUCCACUUUAGCAGCCAGGAUUUGCCAGUUCAAAUCCUGGGCAUGUACCUAGUACUGCUCAUCAAGCCAUGCUGUGGUGGCAUCUCACCUAGAAGAACUAGAAUUACCUACAACUAGGAUCUACAACUAUGUACUGGGGCUUUGGGAAGGAAAAAGAAAAAAAGGAAGAUUGGCAACAAAUGUUAGCUUAGGGCCAAUCUUCCUCACUAAAAAAAAGAAAACAAUUAAUAAUAAUAAUAAUAUAAUUCAAAUAACCAUUUUUGAAGUUUUAAUAUUCAGUGUCCUAACUUUGUCUCAGCUAGGAAAAAUGAAUAGCUGAUGUUUUGUACUUUGUAUUUGUAAAUACAUUACAAUGUGGAGACCAGUGAAUUCCCUAAAGCCUUUAAAUAUUUUAAACGUGUAUCUACUAAACUGUUUUAUAGCUUUCUAGGAUUUUUUAAAAAUAUUUUUGACAUCCAAUAAGAUGAUAAGACAAUAUAGUAAAACCAUAUUGGUUUAAAUUCCCUUGAUUGUAUUUUCUAAUGACUACUCUCAAGAUUUCUCUUAUGUGUUGAUCACUUGUUCAAUAGAUUCUCAAUGGGUACUUUUGACUGAUUAAUGUAUAACUUGACCAGGUGCAUUUUUUUUGGUAAAGCCCACCUUGAAAUAUAGUGCAAAUAGUUUGUGCAAGUAAGAUUGGGAAAAAAGAAUGUUAAAAAUACUAAACAAACCAAACUUUAGAAGUAACUCUUCGCACACAAAUAUUUCGCACAUUGAAAUAUCCUGGACCCACAUUAAUAUCCCUUCCAUACACUUCCGUUCCAUGGGGCAUCUUCAGCAUAAGCUCUUGACUGGCCUGGCCCAUUUGUUCCAUCCAUCUCUCUUGAGUUUUGGUGUUUGUCCUUCAUGCCCCUCCUGCCCUUUACCAUCAAGUUUGCAAUCCUCAUAGAGCGUCUUUGUAUUUGUACUCCUGCCCAAGUUUAUGUGUAAGUUGCUGUCUCAUUCCUUGUCUACAUAGCAUAGAGAGAGAGAAGUGUUUUUUUCCAACGUUUUUUCCAAUAAUUUUUUCCAACUAUUUUUCCAAGAAAUAGUUGAGUGUUUAAUGAAGACACUGCUGUUUAAUGUGUUGUCUGCAAUAAUUUUUAUUCUAUUAGUAGGUGAAUUGAAUAGACCAGACAAUAACAUUUUCAUUGUUAACUUUGUAACACAACGAGUAGUAUCUGACAGUUUGUAACACAGCAAUAAAGUAAGAAAACUCAAAAGCAGUCUCUCAAAGUUCAUCAUCAGGCAAUAAUCUCUUCCUCCACCCCUCUCACAGCUCCCUGGAACAAUAACAGAAUACAUUUUUAAAAUGUCAUUGGUACCUAUGAGCCAACUUCUAUUUUCUCUCUACCAACCCUCUGCUCCCUGCCAGUCUGGGUUGGGUCCCAUACCUAUACAUUCACAGAGUACUCUGUUCUUACCUUCAUCCUAGAAUAUGUGACACUAUUUUUCAAGCCCACCGUCCAUUAUCUGCAAUUCCAAAAUCCAAAAACCUCUGAAAACCAAAAGUUUAUUUUACAAUUGGUGCCAAAACUUAUUUGGCAGCAAAGCCUGAUCUGAACUGACAUGAGGCUAUUUAUAAUGUUAUCUUUUACUACAGAAAUGUUGCUGUAUUUGUUUAUAAGAUGCCGCUCCAGGUUCUAUCACGGGUGUUACAUAUUAAAUGUAACAGGUAUUGUUUUACCUUUCUAGAAACCUACAAAUAGUGUUGGUUCUGAAACAUUUGUAGCCCAAGUGCUUUGGAUGAAGACAUGCAGAGCUGUGCUGUCACCUGCUUGCUAGUCUGCACGCCCCACCAGAGGGUGAAGUCUCUAGAGUCAGUAAUUCUGUAAACCUACGUAGCCUCUAGUGGGUCAAAACAAACACAGAACCAAGGAAUAAACAAAGGAAUAUUCACUGUCAAUUUAGCAUAUUUAAAUUUAUCAGCUUCUCUCUGUUCUUGUUGUUAAAGUGUUGCUACUUUGAGAAAGAAGAUCCGGGGCUAACAGUCCGUUUUUUUUUUUCACUGAGGAAGAUUGUCCCUGAGCUAACAUCUGUGCCAAUCUUCCUCUCUUUUGUAUGUGGGUCACUGCCACAGCAUGGCCACCAAUGAGUGGUGUAUGUCUACGCCCAGGAUUCGAACCUGCAAGCCUGAGCUGCCAAAGCAGAGUGCACUGAACUUAACCACUAGGCCAUGGGGCCAGUCCCUAACAGUCCUCUUUUUAACUGAAAACAUAAAUAUUUGGCGAGAUUGAAAAAUCCGUGACAGAACCAAGAAUAAUAUCAUGUUUCCUGGUUUUUAGAUUUGUGUUUUCUUACCCAGAUAAGACCAAUAUUGUUAAUGCCAGAUACUCAAAGCCAAAGGAACAACUUUUUAAAAAUCUUCCUUAAAAAAAGUAAUUUGAAAUCUUACUAGUUAAAAACUUGAAAAAAUUAUCAUAAUGUAGGCAAGGACAGAAUGAAAUGGACAUUCUCAAACAAUGCCAGUAAGAGUAAGGAUUGUUAGAAUCUUUCUAGAAAGCACUUCACAAAACAGAUCAAGAAAGUUAAAAGUUUACAUCUGUAAUAGAAUGAUGGAGAAUAUUUAGCACACAGUACCUAUGAAACAUUUGUGUUCUAGAGGCAUAUCACUUUGAUUAUUCAGAAGAUUCUAUCAAAUGAGUUACUUUCUCUGAAAGCAGCCAGUAUUCAGUUUUGUAAGGCCUGCUAUGAUAAUAUUUUUACAUGAAAAGUUUUUCAGGCUUUCUUUUGUUCAAACAUUCUUUUUAAUCAUUAGAGUUCCUAUUCUACCAUGCUUGAACAUCUCUCUUAUGUAAUAUCCUUUGUUAGUUUGGGCUAAUAAUUCUAUUACUAUAUUACAACUCUAGUAAUUUUUGAAAACCCUGCCCAAACAAUAUGGGCAAUGCAUAGUAAACUUCAUAUUUGUAUUAAACAAAGUUCACACAGAAAAAAAGAAACUACUUUAUGUAGACUAAGUAUGAAGGAUUUUAAUAUGGGAAUUAGAGGCUUCCACAGUCAUUAGAAGGCUUGGGAGAUUAAAGAUCAGGGAAGCUGUUGCCAAUAAUCUCAGUUUGCAUUGCCAAGGUGAUUGGCUCUGAGAACUUUCUUGGAAGCCUCUGUUUCUCUCAAGAAACUCUAGGAAGCUCCUACCAGCUGUAUAAGCUCGCAGCACCAAACAAAUAAUUUCAAGCAGCCACCACUAGCCAUCUCAAUUGUCUAGAGGACCAAAGAAGGUAACCUGCUGGAACUCAUCCAGAAGCACUGUGAAGCUCAUGUCUCCUGUCGGCUCACACAUCUAUCUGUCACUGCCCUGGGAGAACAGCUUCUGCUCCUCCGCUUUCCGACGUCACAUAAGUGCCUGUUGCUGGCAGGGUCUAAUCUGGAACCAUCUAGGAAAUGGGGUUCUGGGAACUAUAGCUCUCAGUUUCUCCUCUGAGAUGCACAGAUCAUAAAAAGGAAAGCAGUGAUGCCAAGUUGACGACAGACAAUCAUGUUUGUUUCAGUGUUGAUGACAACCGCUUAAUAGUUUUCUUUAUUGAUUUUCCAUUCUAUUAGUAUUCUUUCAGUCAAAUUCACUGUUAUUAGUUGACUGAGCCAAGAAAUCUGUCAGCAAGCAAGUAAAGCAGGAGUAUAAUUGAAUUCAUCCUCGACCCACCGUGUCGUCCGUUAAAAAUUAUUGCUAGUUGGUUCUUCAUUCCAGAAUGUCUGAGGCACAAGAAGCUAAAGGAACACAUUUAAUACUAACAUUGACCUUUCUAUGUAAGACAGUAUACAAUUAAGAAAACAGUUUUCACUGAUACGUUUUCUAGAAGGAACUUUGUACCUAGGACUUAGCCUUGGGAAAAGUCUCUAAUGUUCUUCAUCAGCUAAAGAAAGGACAAAUUGUUGGCAGGAUUCUUGUUUAAACUUGUGGCCUCCAUGUACUCAAACUCAAAUUAGUAAUAGACUUCUUUAAAAACUUGUAAAUGUAUUCUGAAUACUUGAUACUUCUCUAAUUCUUUCAACUUUUCUUUGUAUGUUUUUGAUUUUGGCUCAAAGAUAACAUGUUUAUUGUGCAUACGUUUGUAGCUUUCUCUGUCUUUGGAGGAAAUUUUGAGGGAGUAAAAUUUUAUUUUCUAAAACAUCCUCUCAAGAUAUGAAAAAUACCAAACAGGACUUUUUCAUAAAACACUCAUAGCUUAAAUUGAUAAAACAACAAGAAUUUUAUUAAAGUUAGAAUGCCAGUACACAAAUACUGUUAUAAAGAUUAGAGUUAGAAUAUUACAUCUAUUAUGCUACCUUGCAUUAUAAUUCAAAAUUUUGUAAAUAUUUGUUGGUUCAAAAGAGACACAAUAUUCUCCUUUGUGUCAUCUAAUUCAUUCUCUCUUGAUAUUCAGUUUAUGGAAUUUGAUGUCCUUUUAUUUCAUCUCGCACAUUUUCAUCAGGUGUCAAUUUAUUAAACUAUUUUUAUCUAUUUACAAGUUAUUAGUAAUUAUAUAUAAAAACAAGUUUUCACAGUCAUUUUUUAUUUCAGCAUUUUACUAUUGAAAUAAUAAAUACGUAAGUAUAUUUCAAAUGACAUUGAAGUAGGUAUUAAUCAGCAAGGCAGUCCAGAAAAAUGAAUCUAGCAGGACUGAACUAAAUGGCCUAGAAGGAAAUAGGCUUAAGGCAGUUAUAUUGGCUCUGACUCUGUUGCCAUCAUCUAACAAGAGUUAAUGAGAUCCUCAACUAGGGAAGAAACAGAAGAAAUGGAAGGAAGGAACAACUGCAAGAUGUCACAGGGAAGGAGAGUUGCCUGGUUUUGGUAACUGAAUGUAAGAAGCAAGAAGCAAGAGAGAUUAUCAAAGAUUAUUCUUAGAUAUUUUAGAUAGGAGAUAAUAUGGGUGUGAGAGAAAGAGGUGCUGAGAUGGUACUGGAGAGUAUAGAGAAGGCCAAGGACAAGCUUUUGGGGAAUAUCUACCCUUGAGGACUGUGUAGGAAAGUGAUAUGAAAGGAAUGAGAAAAGAAAGAUCAAAGAGAAGCCAUGGGCAAAACUUUAAGGAGACAGUGGGCAGUAAUAUUCAAUGCUGCAGAAAAGACUCUGGAUUUUGUGACUAGGAAGUCUUCCGUGACCUUUAAAAGCAUGGGUUUCCAUAGAGGAUUGUGAACAGAAACUAAAUUUAAAAGGAUUAAGGAAUAAGGGAUAAGGAAAUAUGACAGAGUAUUCUUUCAAAAAGAAUAUGUAAUCAAGUCACGAGGAGACAUGGAAGCACCAUAAAUGCAUAUUGUAAGUAAGUGAAAGAAGGCAACUUGAAAAGACUACAUACACUAUGCUUCCAACUAUAUGACAUUCUAAUAAAGGCAAAACUAUGGAGACAGUAAAAAAUAGGUGGAGCACAGGGGAUUUUUAGAGCAAGGAAACUAUUCUGUGUGAUACCAUGAUGGUGGAUACAUGUCAUUAUACAUUUGUCAAAACUCAUAGAAUAUACGACACCAGGAGUGAUUGUAAUGUAAAUUAUGGAUUCUGGAUAAUAAUGACAUGUCAGUUUAGGUUCACCCAUUGUAACAAAUGUACCACUGUAGUGCGGGAUGUUGAUAGUGGGAGAGUUCUGUGCAUGAGUGAGGGUGUGAGGUAUAUGGGAACCUUCUGUACUUUCUGCUCAGUUUUGCUAUGAAUCUAAAAUUGCUCUAAAAAUAAAGUCUAUUUUUUAAAAAGAAUGUAUAACCAUUUUUCAUUAAUAUAAAAUUCUUUAUUAUAUUCAUGUACAUAUCACUUCUAUUGCAUUAUUUUAUUGCCCUUAAAAAUGUCAACAAAGUAUAACAACUUAUCUUGGGACCUAAUGAAAUAAGUAGGCCCGCAUCAUAAUAAUGUGGUACUUUUCAGUUAAAUAUAGGAUAGAUAGGUAGAAUUAGUUACAUUUCAGAAUGACAGGAUGGUGCUGAAUUUUAUAGUAAGUAUUGUGAACGAAUAAAGAAUUAUUAGAUCUGUCUUUAAAUGUUAAUUGCAUGUUCUAGUAAUUUAUUACUGUGUCAACAAACCAUCCCAAAACUUAGUAGCUUAAAAUGAUAAUUUAUGAUUAUGGUUCACUUUUCUAGAUGUUAACAGAGCUGGACUCUUCUCAGUUGGGGGGGGGGUCCAUCAAACGGUUGCAGUCAGGUGACUGCUAAGGUUGGAGUCAUCUGGAAGCUUCUUUACUCACAUGUCCUGCUCCUGGGCUGGGAUAUCUAGAACAGCUGGGGGCUGAUGGGGCACUUCUGUCUCUUUCUUCUCUCCAUGUGGCCACUCUACAAGUCUAGCUUGGGUUUCACAGCCUGAAAACUUAAGGAGCAAGCAUUCCAAGAGUCUCAAACAGAGACUUCGAACUCUGGGAGCUGGUGCUGGAAGUUAUGCAGCAUCACUUUCACUAUAUUCUAUUUGGCAAAGUUGUCACACACCAGCCAAGAUUCAAGGGAGUAGAUACAGGGAAGGAAGACAUUGAUGGUAGCCAUCUUGGAAACAAGCUACAACAAUUUACUUGGGGGAUAUUUAUAAAUAAACACAAACAUAUAUAGAGAUAAAUAUAUCCCUAUGAAAAAAAUUUAAGAAUAAUUAUAAUGAACAUUGAAGUAUAAAGUAAGAUGUGAAGAUAAGACCGUAAUUAAGACACAAAAUAAGAUUAAAUCCCAGAGGUCUAAUCAAAGACUCUGAAUUUUUUCAGCAAUGUUUCUCAGGAGGUUGAGGACCUGAUGCCUGCACUGACUUUUGAGAUGUCUAAUCAAGCAAGUCAUUCCAAACUAUCUGGCUAUCAGAUAAUUAAUCCAGAACAUCUCUGACUUUCUCACUUAGUUCAAGAACUAAGUUCCAGAAUAUUUUUGGCCAAGGUGUCCUCUACCUUAUAUUCUCAAGGCUGCCUCUGUUUUUUUCCAGUCUGUCUCGUAGUCCUUUGGCCCUUAAAGUCCGCUGCCCACUACACUUCCAGCAGCACACUGGCAAAUCUAUUAUGUAGUCAGAUUCUGCAGCUAAUUAUCACUCAACAAGCUUGAAACUUUUUAGUACUGAGUGGUGAGGACAGAUCUUGUUUCCUUUUAUUCCCUUUACUUUAGUUAAUUUUCUUUUCUUGUAGUUUCCUCUUUGAUUCAAUUUUGGGAAGACUUUCUCUGUCUAUUAUAAUUUACUCUCCUUCUUAGGAAUGACAUUUAUAAAUAAGGUUAACAUAUAAGUUGUUAGUUUAAUUUGAUAAAACAUAUAAUCUCUACCUUAUAAAAUAUUUUGAAUGCCUCAGGAACUUUGCCUUUACUGCACACACAGGCAGAAUGGACUGAUAUUUUAAGAUUUCCUGCAACCAGAAAGGUGUGGAAAGUUUGACUGAUUUAUAUUGUGUUCUGACUUCCUGAGGCAGUUUUCCUAAUGCUAUUCCAUUUUAUUCACCAUGAAACAAAGCUUACUGUUGUUUUACUUUUUUAAAUAAAAAUUCAAUCUAGAACUGUGUAUUUCCUAUUUGGUUCUUUGUCUCUUAAGCUUAAUUUCUACGGAAUUUUAUAGUAGUAACAAUUUUAUUUUAUAAAACUUCUGUUGGGGUGAUGAUUCUGGAAGCAUUUGGGAAAAAGAAUUCAUACAGUAUGGAGGUUAAGAACAUGGCUCUGGAACUAGACUGCGUGGAUUCAAAUCCUAGUUGUGCCACUCACCAGCUCCGUGUAUUCACAGGGAAAGCUUUCUGUGCUUCAGUUUCCUGAAUUUCAAAGGGAAACUCACAGUAGUAAUUGAUACCAAACCUUUUAAUCUCAAGUUUGUGUGUCCAAUGUGCAAUGAGCCACUGAGACAUCAGUGCUUGGAGAUGGAGAAAGGUUUAUUAGAAUUGGCCAAAAUGAGAAGGUGGGAGAAUAGGUUCUCUCAAAUCUGUGUUCACAAAAGAAGAAAACAGGGAGUUCUAUGAAGCUAAGGGGCUUGGGAAGAGCAGUUUGAGAGAAACAAAGGGGAAAUCCACUUUUCUUUCACUCCAGAUAAGCUCCUGGGCAGUCAGACUUCUAAGCACUAACUACAACUGGGGGCUGGUUUUCUGGUGACCACAACUUCCUUGAAAGCGUUCUUUUUUUCUGUGAAACAAGCUCAUAAAUCCUUGUGACCCUUGAGUCACCCCUCAAGUUAAACAAGAAAAUGGCAAAUUAACAAGAUUAACUUCUUUUCAUCUGUGUCUGUGUUGGGAACAAAGUCAAAGAGUAAUCAUGUUCUUAUUGAAAACAUACAGUAACGGUCAGGUACCCAGCUUCAUAAUAACUACUUAAUAUGAUUGUUGUGAGGAUUAAAUGAGUUAGCUCAUGAAAGCAAAUAGAACAAUUCUAUAGUAAUUGAGCAAUAAGUGUUAGCCUUUGUUAUUGUUGCACUGUUUAUUUAGAUUUAAUAGUUUCAUUCUUUGCUAAUUGUAUCUUCUUAAUAAUUUUACUAAAUGCCUAUUGAAGCAACACAUUUUGAAAACUAAGUUGGCAGAUAGGUUUCAUCAACAAACUUGUUUCUAAGCUCCUUUCUGGAGAUUAAAAAAAAAAAAGGCAGGAAAAGUUUGUUUUUCUAGUGCAGCAAUUUAAUCCUUCCAUCCUUCUUCAGAAAAGUUUUAAACCGUGAUAGAGAUACUGCCAUGUACUGAGUGUUAUGUCCUCAAAUUCGUAUGUUGAAGUCUAAUCAUUGUUGUGAUGAUAUUUGGAGGUGGAGCCUUUCAGAGGUAAUUAGGUCAUGAGAGUGGGGCCCUCAUGAAUGGGAUUAGUGCCUUUAUGAGAAGAGACAGGAGAGAGAUUAUCUUCUCUCAGCCAUGUGAGGAUACAGCAAGAAGGCACCCAUCUGUACACCAGGAAGAGGGCUGUCACCAGAGACCAAAUUGGCCUGCACCUUGAUCUCAGACGUCCCAGCCUUCAGAAGCAUGAGAAAUCAGUUUCUGGUUGUUUAAGCCACUUGGUUUAUGGUAUUUUUGUUAUAGCAGACUGAACUGAAUAAGACACAUAUCAAUUUGAAUAAACGCACAGCCUCUAGCUUUGAAGACUCACAGUGAGAGAGUCAGAGACACAAAUAAGGUCUCUCAAGUGGUUUGUAAUGUAAUGUGGAGUGUGUUAUUAUAUUCACGUGAUCAAUAGGAUGGAGCAACCAGCUGCCUGGAAAAGUCAAGGAAAGCUUCUCUGAGCAAUUGACUUUUGCAUGAGUUGAGUCUUGAAUAGGAAUGUGCUAGGCAAAGAUGAGAAAGAUCAUUCCAGACAGAAACUAUCACAUGCACAGUGGUGGAACAGGCUGGAAGUCUGAGGAAUCCUGAGAAGUCCAGACCUGCUGGAACUUACAGUACAUCAUAGGGUUAGAGGUAUAGGAGGCUUAAAGAGUGAGUGGAGUUAUAUUGGGGAGGAUUUCUUUUUCUUUGUAUAUGAAGUCAAAGUGUUUAUAUUUUAUUCUGUAAGUAAGUGGGAGCCAGUAGUAAAAACAUUUUGGUAGUGAUUUUUUAAGCAAGAAUAUAACAUGACCAGCAAGAGAGUGAAGAUAGCUAGUGUCAGAAAGAGGUACGUUUAAAUUCAAACUCCAGUAUAUAACAGCCAUGUUUCCUGAAUAUAUUGCUUAAUCUCCCUUAAUUCACUCAUGUAGAAAUACCCUUAGUAAUUCAACUCUGCUGUGUAACGUGAGUAUUAAAGGAGAAUGCAUUAUAAAUACUUGACAUGGUACUUAGGAUAUAGUUGACACUUUCUCCUUGCUAUGUGGAAAGGUCUCUCUGAGGGCAGUGAGGAAGACAGAUUGGAAUAGAUAGAGAAGAGAAGCAUAGGGACCACCAGCCAAUGUAGCCAACCUUGAGGGCAUAGACUUUAGCAUAUAAUUGGGAAGAUUUCAAAGACAUUUCCCUUCCGAGGUGAAAAUUCUGUGGCUGUUGGAAGUAGCCAGUGAGAGAGAGAAACUGAGACUGACUGAGAUUUUUAGUUUAGGAGGCUUGAAACACCUACGCUUUAGGCACCAUUCUGUGCUGUGGAUCAAUAAGACACAUUUUCUUUUUUAAGUUUCUCAAAAUCUAUCAGGGAGACACUUACUUAUAUGAAUUGAUGCAAAGAUUUACCUAUAUUCUAGGUGGGGUUUUAUAACAGCUUCACCUUCCACAUCUUCUCCAAAUAGGAAGAAUACUUUGUUGUGGACACUUGACUGAACUAUUGUUAAAUUACGUGAGUGCUGUCAGAUCCCAGAAUUUAUUCUUAUUGAUUGUAGUCACCAUGGAUUCUCAGCACUGAAUUUCCCAGAUCUGUCUUUUGUCUCUUAUGUAGAAUAGUUCAAACAUAUAUACCAGUGCGGUUUUUCUUUUUAAGCUCAGAAUAUACUUAGAGGCAUCUCAUUAAGAUUUAAGAGAUGCACUUCAAUUCAUUGCAUGCAAGAUCUUGUAAUCACAAGUCUCAGCAAAUACCAGUUCUUUAAAUGACAUAAGGUUGACAAGAAAUGGAAGGAACCGUUAAGAAUAAUAAAAAAGAAAAAGCUAGCCUACGGUGACAUGUAAUGAAAUGAGACAUUUCCAGAGAAGUAGUCUGUUCUUUUGAUUAUUAAUUUUCUUACUUCCAGACUGACUAAUGAAUAGCAUUUUCAGUUAAUUGUACCUUUUAAAACUUUCUGCUGUUUAUAUCACUGUGACACGUGUAUCCUGAGUACAACUCUUACUAUUAACCCUUUUGAGGCUGGCAGUGGUUUCAGUUUCUUCGUGCUCUUUCGCCUAGUACCCAGAAAAGUAAGUCAUUUUCUCUAAAUUUAUCAUCUUUUCUACUGUGUCAUUGACCUAUCUGAAUAUAUUCUGUUCUCUUAAUCUUUCAGUCUGAAUUAAAUAAAGAAUUCACAUUUGGAUCUUAUUUUAAGUACUCCUCGAAGUUUCAAUUCCCGUUGGAGAUUUUUUAAAGCCUGGAGCAGUGGAGGAGCUAAAAAAAGAAGAGAGUUCAAAUCAAUUCAAGAAAUAUUUAUUGAGCGUCUGAAUGUGCCAGAUACAAAAGAUGAAGAUCUUCUUUCAAGAAGCUCACAGUGUGAUGGGGAGAUGACAUGUGGGGGAAUUAGAACAAUAGUCCAGGGUUUCUUUUGAGGAAGAUUAGCCCUGAGCUAACAUCUGCUGCCAAUCCUCCUCUUUUUGUUGAGGAGGACUGGGCCUGAGCUAACGUCCAUACCCAUCCUCCUCUACUUUAUAUGGGGGACGCCUACCACAGCAUGGCUUGCCAAGCGGUGCCAUGUCCGCACCCCGGAUGGGAACCGGCAAACCCCAGGCUGUCGAAGCAGAAUGUGCGCACUUAACUGCUGUGCCACCGGGCCACCUGAUUUCAUGUUUUUAAAAAUUCUGGUUUUAGCAUGCCAGGCAGCAGGGCCUGAGGCGGUGUUGUUUGGGUGCCAGGGGUCACCUGGCAGCAAGGUCCCCCUGCAUGGGGCAGGCACUCUCCUCUCUCUCCAUGGCCUCAGUCUCCUCAUCUGGUUGUGAUCCUCACCCUGGUGGCCUCCUCAGACCAUGGAGAGCUGAGGACUGUCCUGCAUGUGGCCACAGGCCUGGGUCCACCCAGUGCACCUAGAACUUGAAGGCCCGGCAGAUCUGGAGACUGCAGGAGGAACCAGUGCCUCAGGAAUCAGAACUUUCCCGGGGACGCUUAUUUGCCUGAACCUAUUAGGGACAGGAAGAAACUAAGACAAGUGAAAGAGCACUUCCUCCAAGGCCCCAAAGCCGGUAACAAAAGCAGACGGUGAGAAAUGCAAACAGUACGGAGGAGUAGACAGAGGAAAACCCUAGAGGUGCAGUGAAAGAAACACGGUUCCUGCCCUCCUAGAACUUGCCUGCAACAACCAAGGAAACAGCUAAAUAAGGCAAUGAGGCCAUGAGAGUAAUAGCAAAGGGCCAGACUGCUUAAGGAAGAUCGUGAUUGGCUGUUUGUCUUAAGCCCAGUCAAGACCUUGGAGACUCUUUGUCAUCCUUUACUAGUCAGUCUGUACCUGUUCAGCCACGAACGGCACCACCACUGUGAACGUUGCCUUCCAGGACUGGAAGAUGAAGCCUGGGAGAGCGGCUGGUGGAGAGGCUUGGAAUGACUCCUGUCCAAACUCAGAGGUUGCUUCAGGAAGAAGAAAAACUUGAGGGAGGACGAUUACUGGACCCACGGACACUGGGGAAAUUUCACAAUGAGCAGAAAACUUAGUUCCUGACCAGACCAUGGAACUGGGAAAUAACACUAGACAGACCAGCCUGAAGCAAGAGUAUCUGAUUGCUAUUUCAGAUCCAGGAGGGUUGCUACAGGUAAUGUGUAGAAAGGGGCAAAAGAUUUAUUCCAAGGAGCUAACCCCUUUGGGGCAGGAAACAUGAUAGAUAUGGAUGCCAGAGAGGAGCAUUGCAGAGAAAAAAACUAAAUGUCUUUCACAAUCCUGAUGUGUACAAAAAUCAUAUUAAAACUAAAUUGCCACUGUAUUUGAUAAUGCUGUCCACCGAGCGCUAUUCAUGUAAAACGUUUCUCCACUCAGGUUAAGUGUAUGGGGGCAGAGGAUUGGCUUUCUUUGUUAGAUGUGUUUUUGUGGUCAUUGAAAAUGUUUUGAGUACUUUGACCUUUGCAAAAAAGGAAAGGCUGCCAGUAAAUGUCUCUGUGUUGCUGCUACUUUUGAUCCUGUUAAUUUCUGGAUUGUAUAAAGAAAUAAGUUUAAGAUUUUUUUUAAAAAAGCUUAUUAUGGCC